UACGGAGGGUGCAAGCAUUGAUCGGAAUUACUGGGCGUAAAGGGCGCGUAGGCGGCUUUGUAAGUCAGAUGUGAAAUUCCGGGGCUCAACCCCGGAGCUGCAUUUGAAACUGCAUAGCUAGAGUACAGUUAGGGUAAACGGAAUUCCACGUGUAGCGGUGAAAUGCGUAGAUAUGUGGAAGAACACCGGUGGUGAAGACGGUUUACUGGGCUGUAACUGACGCUGAGGCGCGAAAGCAUGGGUAGCGAACAGG
rnacentral:misc_RNA from 1 species